CCCGGACUAGCUCAGUUGGCAGAGCGCACGAUUAAUUAGCGUGAGGUCGCAAGUUCGACUCUUGCGUCUGGGC
rnacentral:tRNA from 1 species